rnacentral:rRNA from 1 species
GAUGAACGCUAGCGGCAGGCUUAAUACAUGCAAGUCGAGGGGCAGCAUGAUUGUAGCAAUACAAUUGAUGGCGACCGGCAAACGGGUGCGGAACACGUACACAACCUCCCAAUAAGUGGGGAAUAGCCCAGAGAAAUUUGGAUUAAUACCCCGUAACAUAACGAUGUGGCAUCACAUUGUUAUUAUAGAUUUUUCGCUUAAUGAUGGGUGUGCGGCUGAUUAGAUAGUUGGCGGGGUAACGGCCCACCAAGUCUACGAUCAGUAGCUGAUGUGAGAGCAUGAUCAGCCACACGGGCACUGAGACACGGGCCCGACUCCUACGGGAGGCAGCAGUAAGGAAUAUUGGUCAAUGGGCGCAAGUCUGAACCGGCCAUGCCGCGUGAAGGAUUAAGGUCCUCUGGAUUGUAAACUUCUUUUAUUUGGGACGAAAAAGGGUCUUUCUAGGUCAACUGACGGUACCAGAUGAAUAAGCACCGGCUAACUCCGUGCCAGCCGCCGCAGUAACAC